UACGGAGGGUGCGAGCGUUAAUCGGAAUUACUGGGCGUAAAGGGUGUGUAGGUGGUUAUUUAAGUUAGCUGUGAAAGGCCUGGGCUCAACCUAGGUAUGUCAGCUAAGACUGGACGACUUGAGUAUAGGAGAGGGUAGUGGAAUUUCCGGUGUAGCGGUGAAAUGCGUAGAGAUCGGAAGGAACACCAGUGGCGAAGGCGGCUACCUGGCCUAAUACUGACACUGAGGCACGAAAGCGUGGGGAGCAAACAGGAUUAGAUACCCUGGUAGUCCACGCUGUAAACGAUGUCGACUAGCCGUUGGUUCUCGUAAGCGAGGAUUAGUGGCGCAGCUAACGCGAUAAGUCGACCGCCUGGGGAGUACGGUCGCAAGAUUAAA
rnacentral:rRNA from 1 species